AUAUUGUAGUUUAUUUUCAGCUUCAUAGACCCUCAAGUCUCUUCAGUAAUUCUAUCCUUCUCUUUUGUUUCAUCUGAAAAUUCUUCUGUUUCAAAUUCUAGAUGUUGGUGUUAGCAUUUGGGUAAUUUUGGUAGAAAUUUCUUCUGGGUACUGCAUUCCGUACCCCCUAGGCCUAAAACUGGAAAGAGAAGCUUAAAUGUUCUCAUUUUAUGCUCAGAUUCAGAGUUCUCCAUCCCCCCAAACCCCCAAAUCCCCCUAUAUUUUUUGCACUUGUGGCUCAUGUCUCUCCUCAAAAUAAUAGGCUGGUUUUUCCAUCCACCUACUUUUUGUUGGUGCUGGUGAGGUAGUAGGUAGCUCGUGAAGUUAUUGGGGUGACUCGUAUGCAGUCUUACCAUAAAUCCUUGUGGUUCGGUCAUUUUCCAGACUUUGCGUGUGUUGAGAGCUUUAGUGCACUGGGUUGUCCUUUUUUGCUAAUAUAGAAGUGCCAUGGGGAAGCUGCUGGAGGUUGUCCUGCCAGCUUCCUCACAAGGGCAUUUCUGUCAUUUAAAUGGAGGGCUAAAUUAGUCUUUUUAAUUGUUAUCAUUUGAGUAAUCAUGUAUGUGUUAGUUGAUUAUUUCAACGUGUCAUUUGAAUGGGAAAAUAUUUUAAUGUCUGUUGGCAAAGAUUUCUCUGUUGGCAUCUUUGUAUCUUAACCUCAAAGCUUCGGCUAUUCUUUCUACAGUGCUGCCAGGUAUUCUUCAGUAAAUUCUUAACAAAUUGGAGGUGAUUCAAAACAAUGCGACAUUGAACAUAAGGUGGGAAAGUUCAUCUUAUGUGCUGACUUAUUACACAUGAUUUAGAGCACUCCCUCCAUUUUAUUUCGUGUGAACUUAUUUACCUAGCCGGAGUUUGUGAAAGAAAGAAAAACAUACUCUCGAAGUUGUGAUCUUACCUAUGACAUGACAUUUUUAUGUCCAUUAAAUCAUGUUAGCAAGGGUAAAAUGAGAGUUUUAAAGUUAAAUUGUUCUUAAAUAUAGAAAAGGGUCAUACUUCCGGUGUACAUAAAAGGAAACAAGGACUGCUAAAUAAUAUAUCCUUUUGGUGUCAUUUGGUUUGUAAACAAGUAUACUGGGAUUAUAAUGUUGCGAUUAGCCGAUUAUAAUGUGAGGAUUAAAUAAUGAUGGGGUUCUUUAGUGAAUAUAUUUUUAGUCAUAGGUGGUUGGAUCAACUUGGAUAAACUUUUACUUCCAAUUUUAAUCUUCAUUUUCUUUGUACUUUUGGGUAAAGUUUUGGAGAUGGGCAAAUGUGUCCAUUUGUUGUUUCAUCCCGGUAUUGUUACUAAUUUCGGGAUGUUAUUCCACGUAGACUGUGGUAUCAAAUAAUACCAUACUUGUAGUAUAAACAAUCCCGAAACAAAAAGUUCUACUAACUGUGGGGUAAACUGAUUCCAGAUUCUAUCUCGGACUGUAAUCGCUUAUCCUUGUGCCCAAACAAUCCUUUAAGAUUUUCAGUUGAUAGUUUAGGAGUAGUUUAAAAGGUGGCAUAACAAGAUGUUUAUUUUCUGGUUUGAUCUGGUUUCUUGGAUAUGGCUGAUCAUUGUUUCUCGUGCAUACAUCAUUGGGUUGUUAGAGGGUAGUUAUGACCAUUGCAUUUUACACACUAUUCUUGCUUUCAUGUUUGCUGAUGCAGUAGUCACCAACUUCAACGUGUCAUUUGAAUGGGAAAAUAUUUUAAUGUCUGUUGGCAAAGAUGUGUUGGCAUCCUCAAAGCUUUGGCUGAAACGAUUUUCUGCUUGCAAGGUUGAUUUCAUCGUUCUUACUUUUAUGUCCGAAAUUUUAUUGAAAUAGCUGGACAAUAUGAUAGCAAAGUAAAUGUUAUCUUUACUGUUUCCUUGUUGGAAUGGAUGGUUCAAGCUUCUGCGUAAUAUAAUUGGAUGGAUUAUCGUAAUAGUUAACUUCGCGUUGCUAAUUUUUCUCCCAGGACAGCAUAGCCCGGCAGCUUCUUUCGCUGCACAGUGAAUUCCCCUCCUUAACUGAACACUUUGCAAUCGGCUGUGAAGUGUUCUGAAGUAUUAAAAUUGUGUAUUGAUAGUUUUAGUCCAAUGUUUAAGUUUUGCUAAUUGAUUUUCCAUUCAGGUUGGUUACAGACAAUAUUGUGAAUCAAGAUUCUUUAAACUCAUUGGAAAGGCAACUAUAUUCAAUGAAGAAAAUAAAGAGUAUGCAUUAAACAGAUGCAAAGAAAUUUGGGUUCAGAGAUAUCCAACUGAGCCUUUUGAGAAUGAAUCUGAUGACUUCAAUUUGCAGAACUCAGUUUCCACAUUUCAUGAAUAUCUGCUGAAAGAAGUAUCCAAACAAAGACAUUUAUACACAAUUUUCUGAGCCCUUUUAUCCAGAAAUUGUGUAUUUAAUAGCAGCUCGACGUUUUGGUCCCUGCUUCAGAUAUUCUUCUAAUGUGGAUCACUCAUCAAGUUUUCAUAUGUGACUGGGACAUCAAUUAUCGGCAUCAAGUAGAAGGAUGCUAUUCUCUUGGCUGCUGAAUGGACCUUUCUACUUUGGUGCUGGGGGGUUCAAAUGAAGGUGGCAUUCUUUAGUUGAGGCAAAACAAUGCUCAGUGAAAUGCUUCAAUGUCUUUUACUUGCUGCAUUAGGAUUUUGAUAAAUUUCAAGUUAGAGUAACUAGGAUCGUUGGUGCCUAUCUACUGUAAAAUUUUAUAUUUUUAUAGUAUAUUCUGAUUAUUGGUCAAAAUGGGAAGAAAUGAACUGAAGAAGGUAGUGCCCGAGAAUGCGUAUUUAGAAAAUUAGUACUGAUUGAAUUUUCAUUAAUAAAGAAAGAUAAACUUUAA